UACGUAGGGUCCGAGCGUUGUCCGGAAUUACUGGGCGUAAAGAGCUCGUAGGUGGUUUGUCGCGUUGUUCGUGAAAACUCACAGCUUAACUGUGGGCGUGCGGGCGAUACGGGCAGACUUGAGUACUGCAGGGGAGACUGGAAUUCCUGGUGUAGCGGUGGAAUGCGCAGAUAUCAGGAGGAACACCGGUGGCGAAGGCGGGUCUCUGGGCAGUAACUGACGCUGAGGAGCGCAAGCGUGGGGAGCGAACAGG
rnacentral:rRNA from 1 species